rnacentral:rRNA from 1 species
AAAAGCUCAAAUUUAAAAUCUGGCGUCUUUGGCGUCCGAGUUGUAAUUUGAAGAAGGUAUCUUUGGGCCCGGCUCUUGUCUAUGUUCCUUGGAACAGGACGUCACAGAGGGUGAGAAUCCCGUGCGAUGAGAUGACCCGGGUCUGUGUAAAGUUCCUUCGACGAGUCGAGUUGUUUGGGAAUGCAGCUCUAAGUGGGUGGUAAAUUCCAUCUAAAGCUAAAUAUUGGCGAGAGACCGAUAGCGAACAAGUACAGUGAUGGAAAGAUGAAAAGAACUUUGAAAAGAGAGUGAAAAAGUACGUGAAAUUGUUGAAAGGGAAGGGCUUGAGAUCAGACUUGGUAUUUUGCAUGCUGCUCUCUCGGGGGCGGCCGCUGCGGUUUACCGGGCCAGCAUCGGUUUGGAGCGGCAGGAUAAUGGCGGAGGAAUGUG